rnacentral:lncRNA from 1 species
AUACAGCAGACUCCCUUUAAGAUGAAUUCGAAGGGACCAUGAAAAUUUGUUCGUCUUAUCAGAAGAAUAAUUGGCAGC